rnacentral:lncRNA from 1 species
AUUCAACAAAAUGAGUCUGGAGCUUUCAGUGAUGAGCAACUUGGAAGUGUGAACUUAUCAACAGAAGCAGAAGAUGACAGGAGUGAUCAAAAUGAUUCCUUGGAUUUCAGCAUUGAACAGGCUGGAAUUUCCUAUGAAGUUUGUUCCCCCACCAGACGUGCUCAUCUCAAGAACAAAGAGCCAUCCCCACUAGCAGGAGCAAAAUCAGAAGUUGAAGUGAGUGAUGAAAGCUCACCAUUAACAGUCACAAAAGCAGAAUUAGAUGCUCACAGUGAUAGUGAUGGAACUUCCAACGAUGUUUGUUCUCCCACCAAACGUGCUCAUCUCAAGAACAAAGAGCCAUCCCCACUAGCAGGAGCAAAAAAAGAAGUUGAAGUGAGUGAUGAAAGCUCACCAUUAACAGUCACAAAAGCAGAAUUAGAUGCUCAGAGUGAUAGUGAUGGAAUUUCCUAUGAAGUUUGUUCUCCCACCAGACGUGCUCAUCUCAAGAACAAAGAGCCAUCCCCACUAGCAGGAGCAAAAUCAGAAGUUGAAGUGAGUGAUGAAAGCUCACCAUUAACAGUCACAAAAGCAG